GUGAAUCAUCGAAUUUUUGAACGCAAAUUGCACUCUCCUCGGAGAGUAUGCGCGUUUGAGGGUGGGCCUCUAAAAAAUCGACAUCGUUGCUAUUUCGCGGUGGUGUUGGUCGGAAAUUGGGUCAUCUUAAAUCUUUUGGUUUUAAGCGACUUAAUAUUUUUUUUUUGGUUCAAUGAACGUUUCUAAGAUUUAUUUCUUUACACGUUUAAGGUAUCGAUUUUUAUUAGACGUGACCAUCAUAUGGGACUGGGCCAUU
rnacentral:misc_RNA from 1 species